UGAGUAACCUGCCCUUCACUCUGGGAUAACUCCGGGAAACCGGGGCUAAUACUGGAUAUGACUCGAACAGGCAUCUGUUUCGGGUGGAAAGAUUUAUUGGUGGAGGAUGGACUCGCGGCCUAUCAGCUUGUUGGUGAGGUAAUGGCUCACCAAGGCGACGACGGGUAGCCGACCUGAGAGGGCGAUCGGCCACACUGGGACUGAGACACGGCCCAGACUCCUACGGGAGCA
rnacentral:rRNA from 1 species